AGUUAAAAGAUAAUCCACAAUAAACCUUAAGAAAAUCCUUAAGAAGUCUUAAAAAAUAUUAAAAUAAUCACAAUAUAUCUUAAAUAAAUCUCAAUUAAGUUUUAAUUUAAUCCUAUUUGAAAUCCUAAAAGACUUCAAUCAAACAUUAGAUAAAUCUUAAAUCGUAAAUCAAAUCCUAAACAAAUAUUAAACUCUAAAUGAAACCCUAGAUAAAUCCUAAAUUCUAAACCCAAUCCUAAUUAAAUCCUAGUCAAAUCUUAAAUCCUAAAAAAAAUCCAAGACAAAUCCAAGAUCCUAAACCAAACUCUAUUCAAAUCCUAAAUCGUAAAUCCAACUCUAAUAAAAUCCUAGAAAAAUCUUAAAUCCUAAAUCAAAUCUUAGAAAAAUUUUAAAUCCUAAAUCAAAUCCUAACUAAAUCUUAAACUCUAAAUCAAAUCUUAGACAAAUCCUAAAUCCUAAAUCCUAAAUCUUAAACCAAAUCUUAAACAAAUUCUAAAUUCUAAAUCAAAUUCUAAUCAAAUCUUAAAUUCUAAAUUAAAUCUUAAUCAAAUCUUUAAUCUUAAAUCAAAUCCUAGAAAAAUCCUAAAUCCUAAAUCAAAUCCUAAUCAAAUCCUAGACAAAUCCUAAAUCCUAAACUAAAUAUUAAACCAAAUCCUAAAAUAGUUUAGAACCUUGAUAUCUUUUGAUUAAAUUACUGAUCUUAUUUAAAAUUUUACACACCUCUUAAUCUCUUAAUUACAAACAAGUACAAUAAAUUUGAAGACAAUUGCAUUUACCAAAUAGAAGAAAAAUCCUAAAAUUUGCUUGGAUGUUGGUCGGCCUCCUCCUCCAAUCUUAAUGCUAAUCUUUUAGUGCAAAUAUCUCCCUUUUUCACCAUUCAAUUGAUCUCAAAAUUUUCAUAUACAUAAAAAAAUAAGUCCACUACCUAUAUACAUAACUUUCACUUUAAUCCAAUUGAUAGAUUGUAAGAAAUCUUAGAAAUCCUCAUUAGACCUAAAAUUCUACUUUUUGAGACCUUGACCUAUUUAAACCUCAACAAUCCUCAAUUCAACCAUUAGAUCAAGUUAAAACUCACAAAAAAUAUUAAACACAACUAUAGCUAUUAAUAUAUAAAAUUUAAUUUAUAGAUCUACUAUAAAAUUCUUGAAAUUAUCCAAAAUAUCAAUCUUAUUUUAUUUUACAAAGAUCCAAGUCAUCCAAAACAAUCUUAACUUUAUAAGGUUCUUACAAAGUCAUUAUAAAUCCAAAUCACACAAAAUCAAUGCUUACAAAAAUCCUAUCAAGUUUGCUAUCAAACUCUAAUCUUGAAUCUCCAAAAAAACCUUAAAGUCAUUAUAGGUGUUGUCACGGCCAUAAUCAUGUAAGCUAAUAAUUACAUAUAGAAAUAGGUAGAAGUAAGUAAAAGUAGAUAAAAGUAAGUUAAUUGUAUAAUAUUUAAUAUAGAAGCUUCCUAGAAACUUCUUAGACGCUGCUUUGACUUCAUAGGUGUCUUUAAUUGACUUUUUGGAUUAGAAACGUGGUCAAUAAGUUGGCCAUGUGCCACACAUGUUAUUAGCUUGAAGAUCAAGCUAACUAUGUGGCCCACACGUAGAAAAACUUGCCUUGUAAGUCAAGGCAUGUGUCCUACAAAGUCAACACAUAUUGGAGGUCCUAUAGAACGUCGCCACGUAGCCCCUAGUUAGAUAGUAUAUAUAGAGACAAGAGUGAAGGCUUCUUCACUCUUGUCAACUCCUUUCUUGCUUCUAGUCUAGUUUCAAGGGUCUCUAGUUUUCUUGUAUUUUGGCAAUAGCCAUUCCAGUUUCUUUCUUAAUAUACAUAUUUGUAUUUUGUCCUAUUUCUUUUUGAAAAAAGUCUCACUUAUUCUUUAGCUUUCAUCGAGUUCUUGUCCUUGACAGAUUGACAAGAGUACACUUACAAUAUCAGAGCUUUGUUUUUUCUUGAGUAAGAGUGGAUUACCCCUUUCUCUUGACAAGACAUAAGCGUAUUAGAAGUUUGCGGAUUACCCACUUCUAAACUGAUAUUGUUCUUAGUAUCUUCUUUGUUAUCAAGUCUUUCUUUUCUUUUGUCUUGAGCAAUAUCAAACAAAUUUUUCUUCUUAGUGUCAUUAUGGCAGAGCUUGUUGAAAUGAAGAGUGCAAUGGCACAAAUGCAAGAGCAAAUGAGGGAGUUAAUGCUUGCGAUGCAUCAACUCAAUUCACCAACACAGGAAAGAACAAGAAUAGCAGAAAGUGGAGAUAUAGAGAUGAUCGGAGCUGCUUCAACAUCUACAACAAAUCACGUUCCUUCCCCAAUUGUACAACACCCUAUAAGCACUAGAGAACCAAGAAUUGCCUUACCUGAGAAAUUUGAUGGUACGAGAUCAAAGUUUCGAGGGUUCAUCAAUCAAGUACAAUUGGCAAUUGAACUUCAACCGCAAAGCUAUCCAACUCCAGGAUCACAAGUCAGGUUUAUUGGCACUCUACUUUCUGGUUCUGCAUUAUCGUGGUUUUCGUCUUUUCUUGAACAACGAAAUCCAAUAUUGGACAAUUUGGAAGCUUUUUUGGCGGAGUUUCGAUCUAUGUAUGGUGAACACGAUGCAACUCGUGUUGCAACAAAUAAGAUCCGAAUUCUGCGACAAGAAAAUCGCUCAGUAACAGUAUAUGCUUCAUAAUUUCGACAACUUGCAAUUGACAUCAAGUGGGAUGAUGCUGCACUCAUCAGUCAAUUUCUUUAUGGAUUGCAAUACGAAGUAAAGAAAUUGAUGCUCAACUUACCUGAUCCUCAAACUUUGAGUCAAGCAAUCGAUUUUGCGGUAAAAUGUGAUAAUCGACUUUUUGAAUUUCGAUCUGAGAAUCAUUCACGGGAACCUCAACGUUAUUACUCAAUGGCAACAUCAACAUCUUUGCCAAACGUACAUUCGGAAGUAGAAGACAUGCAAAUUGACGCGGUACGUUUUAAACCUCUAACUGAGCAAGAAAAGAUUCGUCGUCGUCAAGAAGGAUUAUGUUUAUAUUGCGGAGAACCUAAGCACACUGCUCAACAUUGUCCAAAGAAACGACGCAACUAUAAAAUGAGGGGUACGACGGUCAAAGAAGACAACAUGUCGGAAAACGGAUUCAUCCAGCUACAAUAGGGACCGUGCAGUUGGAACCUUGUACAAUUCCUAAUGAAGGUCCUAUCCUCUCCUCAAAACCCUCUCCUUGUUUUAUAAUAGACUUAUAUUUAGGACCUAAAAAUUACAAAGCCUCUGCUUUAUUAGAUUCGGGAGCCUCAGCAUGUUUUUUAGAUGAACAAUUUGUUAAAAGUCGUAAAAUACCCUAUGUACAGAAACCUAAACCAGUACAUGUAGAAGUCAUAGAUGGUCGUCCCUUGUCUUCUGGAGAUGUCACUCAUGAAACUCAUCCUAUAAAAGUAACAAUAGACGGUCAUGAUAGCUACAUAGCUUUGAACAUAAUUAAAUCCCCGUCCAAUCCAGUUAUUUUAGGUUUAUCAUGGCUAGAAAAAUAUAAUCCUCGAAUAGAUUGGAAUUCGCGUAAACUUGACUUUUCCAAAAGCGUUAUUAAUAGUUCUACGAACCAAGUAAAAAAUUAUAAGUCUAGCACAGUAAAAUCCGUACUGAUAGGUGCAAAAGCAUUUAUACACGCAGCAAAAGAAGGAUCAACUUUUGCUAUUUAUGCUGCACCUAUUUCUGAAAACGUAAAGACUUCAAGUGGCAUUCCAAGUCAAUAUCAGGAGUAUCAAGACGUUUUUGAGAAAAAGAAUGCAGAUAUUCUUUCUGAGCAUCGUCCAUAUGAUUGUUCAAUCGACCUCAAGGAAGGAACUCAGCCACCAUUUGGACCAAUUUACAGUUUAUCGCAAGAUGAGAUGGCUGAACUCAAGACAUAUAUUGACGAGAAUUUAGCGAAGAAUUUCAUACGCCAUUCAAAAUCUCCAGCAGGAGCUCCAAUUCUAUUCGUAAAGAAAAAAGAUGGAUCUUUACGAAUGUGUGUUGAUUAUCGAGGACUCAACAAGAUCACAAUCAAGAACAGGUAUCCAUUACCUUUGAUAUCAGGACUCCUUGACCAGUUGAAUCAAGCUAAGAUCUAUACAAAAAUAGAUCUAAGAGGAGCAUAUAAUCUAGUACGGAUCAAAGAAGGAGAUGAAUGGAAGACUGCGUUUCGAACCAGGUAUGGACAUUUCGAAUAUAAUGUCAUGCCCUUUGGACUCACGAAUGCACCAGCUGCUUUUCAACAUCUCAUGAAUGAUAUAUUUCGUGAAUUCUUAGACAAUUUUGUCGUCUGCUAUCUAGACGAUAUCCUGAUCUAUUCCAAGAACGUCGAAGAACAUGAAAUACAUGUUCGUCAAGUAUUACAAAAACUUAGAGAUGCAGGAUUGUACGCCAAGAUGGAAAAGUGUGUAUUUCACACUACUCAAGUUGACUUUUUAGGAUACAUCAUUUCAAAUGAUGGUCUCAUGAUGGAUUCUAAGAAAGUCCAAACAAUCGUGGAUUGGAAGAUUCCAAGGACAGUAAGAGAUGUUCAAUGUUUCUUGGGAUUUGCCAAUUACUAUCGGAUCUUCAUCAAAGAUUUCUCACGAGUUGCAGCUCCACUUACACGCUUGACUAGUAAAGAUAAAUUUCAAUGGAAUCAAGAAGCGGAAGCAGCAUUUGAAGCCUUGAAGACAUCGUUUGUCUCUGCACCAGUCUUAUAUCGUGUUGACUUUUCCAAGGCAUUUUUUAUGGAAACAGAUGCAUCAGAUUUUGCCUUGGGUGCAGUUUUAUCACAAAUGGGAACAGAUGACAAACUCCAUCCGAUAGCUUUUCAUUCAAGAAAAUUCUCAGCAGUCGAGAUCAAUUAUGAGAUCCACGAUAAAGAACUUCUUGCGAUCGUGGAUUCCUUUCAAGAAUGGCGUCAUUAUCUAGAAGGCGCUUCUAGUCCAGUCACUGUGUAUACAGAUCACAAGAACCUCGAGUAUUUCAUGUUAGCACGCAUGUUGAAUCGUCGUCAAGCUCGUUGGAGUAUGUCUUUGUCAAGAUUCGAGUUCAUUAUCACUUAUCGGCCAGGAAAACAACAAGGUUUAUCCGAUGCCCUAUCUAGACGUUCUUAUUUUGCACCAAAAGAAGGAGAUGCAGCUUUUGAGCAACAAAGAACGGUCCUCUUGAAACCGGAGCAAUUUCAUCUCCGAGCAAUGAAAUCAACAUUGACUGUUGAUUCAACUUUUCUCAAGCAAAUCCAGUCCAGUAUGUCCUCAGACCCUCUUGUUUAUGAUAUCGAGAAUAAUUCUUCCAAGUCUCAUGAUCCUUCUAAGUUUGAGUUCAAGAAUAAUCUAUUAUAUUUUGAAGGACGCCUAUAUGUUCUAGAAGGAGAAGCACGUUUACGUGUUCUUCAAGCACGUCAUGACUUUCCAGCAGCAGGGCACUUUGGAUAUAAUAAGACUUUGGAACUCAUAUCAAGAGAUUUUUGGUGGCCACAAAUGUGGAAGUCAGUCAAAGACUUUGUACAAUCAUGUGAUAUUUGUUCAAGAUCAAAAAUUCCUCGUCAUCGACCUUACGGACUUCUUCAGCCAUUACCUAUACUAGAACAACCAUGGUCUUCUGUUUCUAUGGAUUUCAUCACAGAUCUUCCAAGCUCAAGAUCUUAUGAUUCUAUAUUUGUGAUAGUAGAUCGUUUCACCAAGAUGGCACAUUUUGUGCCAUGUACAAAAUCUAUCACAGGUGAAGAAACAGCUAAGCUUUUCAUUGAUAAUAUCUAUCGCUAUCAUGGAUUACCUAAAGAUAUCAUAUCGGAUAGGGGAACUCAAUUUGUGUCAAGAUUUUGGAGGACCCUUUUCAAGAUUUUAAAAGUGGACAUAAAACUAUCUUCGGCUUUUCAUCCUCAAACUGAUGGACAAACAGAGCGCGUAAACCAAGUCUUGGAGCAAUAUUUAAGGUGUACUAUCAACUACCAACAAGAUGAUUGGACAACCCUUCUGCCAUUGGCAGAGUUUGCUUAUAAUAAUACGGUACAUUCUUCCACGCAACAAACACCUUUCUUUGCCAAUUAUGGCUAUCAUCCACGACUUGAUACUUUUGAUUUUUCAAAAGUUGAUAAUCCUGCAGCAGAAGAUAUGGCAAAUCGGUUGUCAGAGUUACAUGCAAUAAUGAAGACACAAUUGAAGGAAGCUCAAGAACGACAAAAGAUAAACACAGAUCUAUAUCGUAAGGAGCAACCACAGAUCAACGUCGGUGAUAAGGUAUGGCUACUUCGUCGCAAUAUCAAGACUACUCGACCUUGUGACAAGUUGGACUAUCGUAGGCUUAGCCCCUUUUCUGUUUCUGAACAGAUCAACCCAGUUGCAUAUCGGUUACAUCUACCAGAGUCAAUGAAGAUCCAUCCUGUAUUCCACGUAUCUCUUCUUGAACCAUAUAAGACAGUGGAUAUACAAGGAAGAAGACAAAUGCCACCGCUUCCUAUAGAAGUAGAUAAUAAUGAAGAAUUUGAGGUGGAAGAGAUAUUAGACUCAAGGCGGCGCCGAAAUAAGCUGGAAUAUCUUGUUCAUUGGCGCGGAUGUGAUAUUAGUGAACGCACAUGGGAGCCAUCCAGGAAUCUAACAAAUGCAUCAACUAAAGUCAAAGUUUUUCAUCAACGACAUCCAUCAAAACCAAGAUGAAAAUCUCUCUUAUAAAAGAGACAAGAUUGAGGCAAGAUAACAUUCAAUUUCCUAUCCUUGUUUGUAACUUCUUUGCAUUUGUGACGCUAAUUAGAUGGAGAGCCAACAACCAGCAGAUUCAACUCAAGAACCUUCGUUUGCUGACCUGCCGGACAAGACAUUACGAUUGUCACAACCUUCAAGACGACGCAAUCGAGAUGAAGAUCUUCAAGAACGACAUGUUCUUCCUCGAACAGAUGGUGAGAUACAACACGUUUGGUAUCACGAUUUGGGAAGGGACUCCUGAUGUUUGGUGAUUUUGCUAGAGGUAGGAACAACUCCUGAUGGUGUUCCGAAUAUUCUAUUCAAAGGAAGUUAUGAAGGCCUCAAUAAUGAUCAAAUAACUGGGUGGUCUUCCCGCCCUGGUAUGGGACACUACCGAUGGUUGAGAGGCCCUAUCAAUCAUCUUCGAAGAGAAUAGAGAUUAGAAUAUGUGGCGAAUACAAUUCGUCGCAUCAUAGAUUUCCUCAACAUAUGAUGACCACUCCUCGUGGAACUCGUCUCUAGAAGGGGGGGUAAUGUCACGGCCAUAAUCAUGUAAGCUAAUAAUUACAUAUAGAAAUAGGUAGAAGUAAGUAAAAGUAGAUAAAAGUAAGUUAAUUGUAUAAUAUUUAAUAUAGAAGCUUCCUAGAAACUUCAUAGAUGCUACUUUGACUUCAUAGGUGUCUUUAAUUGACUUUUUGGAUUAGAAACGUGGUCAACAAGUUGGCCAUGUGCCACACAUGUUAUUAGCUUGAAGAUCAAGCUAACUAUGUGGCCCACACGUAGAAAAACUUGCCUUGUAAGUCAAGGCAUGUGUCCUACAAAGUCAACACAUAUUGGAGGUCCUAUAGAACGUCGCCACGUAGCCCCUAGUUAGAUAGUAUAUAUAGAGACAAGAGUGAAGGCUUCUUCACUCUUGUCAACUCCUUUCUUGCUUCUAGUCUAGUUUCAAGGGUCUCUAGUUUUCUUGUAUUUUGGCAAUAGCCAUUCCAGUUUCUUUCUUAAUAUACAUAUUUCUAUUUUGUCCUAUUUCUUUUUGAGAAAAGUCUCACUUACUCUUUAGCUUUCAUCGAGUUCUUGUCCUUGACAGGUGUGCAGUUUUGUGCCUUGAGGUCCUAUUUUGAACCAGAUUGACAACUGGUCCUCUUUGAAUAUCAAUGCUUGACUUUUUGAGGUAAAUUUUGUUAAAAUUUAUUUUUAAUUUUAAUUUAAUUUUCUAAUUUAUUUUUUGUCUUAUUUAUGGUCUUAUAAAGUAAAUAGAAGCUCAUUUUAUAAAAGUUAAUAUUAGUAUGUUUUUAAAUUUUACUACCUUUUUGACUAUUAUCUAUAUUUUUAAGAUAAUUUUUUAUAAUAUUUUAAAUUAAGAUCUUCUAUAAUAUAAUAAUUUCUAUAUUUUUUUACCUAUUAAUCAAGUUACAUCAUGGCAUCCACCUCCCCUCCCUCCCCCUCCUUGAAUAUGUGCAUCCUUUGGCAUGCCUCAAUGAUUUUUUAAUAUAUUGAUGUUGAACGCUCUUCAUCUUAUUCAAAUUCUUGAUCUUCAAUUUCCUUCUUUCUUUCCAUCUUAAUAUCUUGUAUUAGAUUUUAUUCUUUAUGAAACAAAUGUCUUCAUCUCUUUGUUGAAAUAACUUGAUUCGUUUGCUUGUUAUAGAUAUCUUCAAUUAUGUACCAUUAAGUUCUUGUAAUAAGUAUGUUCCAUUGUUAUUUGUCUUUUUGACAAUAUAAGGCUUAAACCAUGUCUUUGCAAACUUCUUUGUUGUGCUAUAUUAAUUAUUUAAGCUACUAUCAUAAAUUAAUACUCAAUCACUAUCUUUAAUUGCUUUAGGUCGUAGUCAAUAUUUUUUAUGAAAUCUUUCUUUAUUCUUUUCUUUUGCUUCUUUCAAUCUCUCUAUUGCUGCUUCAAUAUCAUUAGAUCUUCUUUUUAAUUGUUGAAUCCAUAAUGCUAAAAGUUCUUUUCUAUUGAGAUCAUUCUUCCAAGGCAAUAUAUCCUAUAUAGGUACUAUGUCUUUUAUUGGCAUUACUGAUUUUUGCUCAUAUAUUAAUUUAAAAGGCAUAUAACUUGUUAUUGAACUAUGAGUUGUACAAUCUAUCCAUAGUACAAAUGAUAGUAGUUUAGGCCAUUCAUGUGCUUUACUAUUACAUGCCUUUAUUAAUGCCUUAACAAUAGGUGAAUGUCUAUGCUCAUUCUUACUAUUACCUUCUAGAUUAUGUGUUGUUGUUAAAAAAAAGUCUAAUUCCUAUUCUAUUAAAAAAUUCUUGUGCUUUCUUUACAUCUAAUUCAUUCUUAUUUGCUAUAAUUUUUUCAAUACAACCAUAGCAACAAAUAACAUCUUCUAAUAAAAAUCGACAUACAUCUUCAAUAUUCUUUAUUUUUAAUGCUCGUCCUUCAACCAUAUUUGAUAAAUCUUCUUGUGCAAGUAUCAAAUACUUCAUUUUUCCAAGUUCUAUAGGCAUUGCCAUUAAAUCUACCACCCACAUAUAAUAUAAAGUCAAAGGAUAUGUUGCAUGUAACUCAUCUUGAUGCUGAAUAUUUGAAUAUAUUUAACAAGUCUCACAAGAUCCUACAAAAUUUACUAUGUCUUUGUGCAUACUCUUCUACCAAUAUUUUUCUCUCAAAUUAAUAAAUGUUGUCCAAAUACUUGGAUGCCCUGUCUAUAAACUUACAUGAAAUUCUUUAAUAAUCUUGUGUUGAGCUUCUAAACCACAUAUCACCCUUUUUGGUAUUUCUUUUCUCCUCUUUAGAUGCUUCCAUAAAUAUCCAUCUUGUAAAAAAUAUCCAUAAGCUUUCUUAUGGAUUUUCUUAAAUUCUUGAUCUGUCCAAUCUUCUUCUUGCUUUAAUGUGCUUAAAUACUCUCUAAUAUCUUUUCAUUCAUCUUCAUGUAAAUCUCUUAAAAAUAUUUCUAAUGAUAUAUUUAAACAUACACCUUCUUUGUUUGAUAAUGUAUUAGUAUAAAAUUUUGUAUCCUCAUCAUCUUCUAAAUCAUUCAUCUCUUCUUCAUCAUGAUAUCUUGCUCUUGAUAAUAUAUUUGUGAUCAAAUUUUCUUUUCCUAAAAUAUAUUUAAAUUUUGGAUUUAUAGAUUUGAUAUAUAUUAUCUACUUUAACAUAGCAAUAUCAAGAAUUGAACAACUUGUAAUCAUGUCCAAUAAAGAUAGACAAUUUAUUUCUAUAACUAUUGAUGCCUCAAUCAAGUACUCUUUUUCAUUUUUCAUAGCUAUUACUACAUCCCAUAAUUCUCUUUUGAUUUGCACAUAUGCCCUUUACUUUGCAUUCAAAACCUUUGUUCCAAACCUUACUAGAUAUCUAUUUCCUUGUUCAUCAUCUUGUCCAAUUGCCCAACCUAUUCCAAUUUGACUUGCAUCAAUUGUUAAUACCAAUGACCUUCCACCUUCAUAAUUUACUUUCUUCAAAGUUGGAAGUAAAAAAAAAAAGAUCUUUCAAUUUUUUCAUAGUUUUUUUUUGUUCUUCUUUCUAUUGAAAUUUCUUAUUCUUUUUUAACAACUCAUAUAAUAGAUUUGCUAUAUGUACAAAAUAAGAUAUCCAUAUAUGAUAGAAAAUACAUGCUUCUAAAAAUCUUCUCAUUUUUGUUGUAUUUUCACAUUUUUUUCUUCUUUUCAAUAAUAUCAACUUUUUCCAUACUUGGCUUCUAUCCAUGUGAUCCACACAUAUGUCCUACUACUAAAACUUCUUUUACUCCAAAUAUUGAUUUUGCUCCUAAUAAGAUUAAAUGAACUUCUAACCUUUUUAAAAUCUUUUCACAAUCAUCAAUGUGAUCUGCUACAAACUUUCUACAUCUCUUUGAAUCAAAAGUCUCAUCUUUUCUUUCUUCUUUACAUUCUUUAAUUGGAACAUCAACUAAAAAAGGUAUUAUUAUUCUUAGAAUAAAAACUCUUAAUACUUUAUGAAUUCCAUUCAUUAUGUGUGCCUCAAAAUUUGUAGGUCAUUGUGAUAAUGUAGAGAUUCUGACCAAUCCUAAUGGUGUCUUCUUAGAUGUCAAAUCUCUACUUUGCAUUGCCGUUGGAAUUGAUCAUAAUAUGAAUAAAGUUCACCUAUUGAAUAGAUUUCUCUUCUAGCAAAAAGUUUGCUUUCAUUCCAUCUUAGCUUUUUAUUUUUUUAUAGGCUGAACCAUGACAAUUAUCUUUAUUUCUAUUUGUGUCGCAAUAAUAUAUGAUUGCCUCAAUAUAAUAGGAUAUAUAGGCAUGUUUUGCAUAAAAAAAAUUUAUUCAUGAAUAACAUCUCUUAUUUUCACCUUAAUAUUUAAACAAGCUCAAUACAAAUCUCUCUUUGAAUUGUUUGUUGCUCUUAUCAUCCAUACAUGUUCAAUAUCAAUAGGCCGUUUUUCCAUGUUAUAUAAUUCUUUUGACAUCAAAUUGAUUUUAGAACCAAAAUCAAUCAAUGCUACAACUAGUUUUUCAAAAUCUCCCAAUUUUAUCAAAGUUUCCGUAGUAGUAUGAAGAACAUAUAUAGGAAGUUGUAGAAGAUUCUAGAAGAUUUUAGAGAAGCUUUGUAGUUUGUAGAAGCUACUUGAGAAUUUUUCAAGUUUGUGGAAGCUACUUAAAAAGCUUCCUAAUUCAUAGAAGCUGCUUGAAAAAUUUCUUAGUUUGUGGAAGCUACUUGAGGAGCUUCCUAGCUUGUAGUAUAUAUAGGAGCUGAGACUGAGGGGAUCCUCAGUCUCAACAACACAUCUCUUGGAGCUCUAGCUCACCUCUCUAGUGUUGUGCUUGUACUUAUCUGAUUAAUCUAAUUCUUGUCGAUUCUUCUUGAGCUUUUUGUUUAGAUUUUCAGUGAGUAUUCUAAAUUCAUGACAGUUUGUCAAGACUCCAUUCAUCUUUCAUAUCAGAGCUACUUCUUUCUUAUUAGAAUGUGGAUUAUUCCUCUACUUGAAGGUGUUGACAUUUUAGAAGUUGCAGAUUAUCCUUUUCUAAAUUGAUAUUUUUUUGAUUAUAACAUUAGAGUCUUAUCUUUCUUGGAGAGAGUGGAUUAUCCUUCUUCUUGAAAGCUUUAAGGCAUUUUAGAGGUUGCGGAGUAUCCUCCUCUAAACUAAUAAUGCCUUUUUAUAGAGUCAUUUCUUUCUUUCUCUUAAAAUGGUCGGAGGUCAAGAUAUUAGUAUGACUGAAAGUUUGGAGUCUAAGUUGGAUGCCAUUAUGAAUGCUCUUGCUACGUUACUACAAAGAACUACAAAGAUUGAAGGAAUCAUUGCAAGACUUCAUAAUAAUAGAGCAUCCGGGAUGGCACAAUCAAGGAUUCACCAGCCUCAAGCUUUAGCACCAAGAGAAGCAGCUUUGCUUCUAGUUCAACAAGGACUGUUGAUCUUACAAUGAAAGGAGCCCCAAAUUAGCCUUUUAGAUAAGUUCGAUGGUACGCGUUCCAAGUUUUGAAGUUUUGUCAAUCAAAUUAGAUUAAGAACAGCUUUAGAGUCUAAACGCUAUCUAACGAAGGAGUCACAUGUUAGACUGGUUGGAACUUUGUUCACGAGGCAAGCUCUAUCAUGGUUUGCUCCUUUGUUUGAAAAAAGAUCGUCAAUUUUGAACAACUUCAAAACUUUUUUGGAGGCGUUUGCGGAAGUAUUUGACAAACAUGACAAGACACAAUGGGCUACAACAAAGAUCCGGUCACUAUGACAAGGGGCACACUCCGCGUCAGUCUACGCAUCAGAUUUCAGAUAAUUAGCCUACGACAUCAACUGGAACGAGGAAGCAUUAAUGAGUCAAUUUUAUUGGGGCUUGAGGGAUGACAAGAAGGAUUUAUUAUUAUCUCUUCUUGAUCCGCAAAUGCUCAACAAAGCCAUUAGCUAAGCUGUAAAGUACAAUAACCACAUGUUCCAACAUCGCUGAGAUCAGCGCUCAAGACAACAUAUGGCUCACCAUGCUCCAACUAUGUCAACAAGCAACCUAAAUUCACAUUCAAAGGUGGAAGACAUGCAAAUUGACAUGGUACAUGUCAAAUCUCUAACUCUAGAAGAAAAAAAGCAGCAUAUGGAGGAAGGACUAUGCUUCUAUUGUGGUGAAGAAGACCACAGAGUUAGAAACUACCCCAAGAAGCAAAAUCGACACAUUUUCAGGACCAAAGGUGCGUUUGUUCAAGAAAACAAGGAUGCCCAGCCAAAAUAAGGACUAUGCAGCUGGACAAUUCAAUACCACAACAACAAUCAGGUUCCUCUCUUUUUAAUCACCCUGUCCAUUGUUUUACCAUUCCUCUAUCUUUUGGCCCUCAGAAAUUAAAAACCUUAGCAUUAUUCGAUUCAAGAGCAUCUACUUACUUUUUAGACAAAGAAUUUGCUAAGAGUCAUGAGAUUCCUCUAAUAUGAAAACCUAAACCUGUUCAUGUAGAAGUAAUAGAUUGAUGACCUUUAUUGUCUGGUAGUAUCACUCAUAAAUCAAAACUUAUAGAGGUGACGUUUAAAGACCAUAGUACUUAUAUUAUUUUCAAUAUUAUUAGAACCCCAUCAAAUUUUGUUAUUCUUGGUCUUUCUUGAUUAGAAAUGCAUAAUCCAUCUAUAGAUAGGAGGUUACAAAAGAUGACAUUUCCUAUAGAACAUUCCGAGAGUAAGCUUGUUAGAAGAUCUCAAACAAAAAAAAACUUAUUUAUUGGAGCAAGAGCAUUUGUAACAUCAUCCAAGGAAGGCACACCAUUUGUCAUUUAUGCGACUCCAACUAGCAAAGAGAAGAUUUUGACAGCAAGUAUAUCAGAGCAAUGUAAGGAUUUCGAAGACGUGUUUCAAAAAAAGUAUGCCGAUAUGCUACCGAAGCAUCGACCAUAUAAUUGUGCCAUAGACUUGCAAGAAAGAACACAACCAUCUUUUGGCCCAAUCUACAAUUUGUCACAAAUGAAGUUAGCGGAGUUACAAAAGUACAUUGACGAGAAUCUAACCAAGAACUUCAUUCGUCAUUCAAAGUCACGAAUUGGAGCACCAAUCUUAUUUGUGAAGAAGAAAGAUGGCUCGUUGUGGAUGUGUAAGGAUUAUCAAGGUCUCAACAAGGUGACAAAGAAGUAUCGUUAUCCAUUAUCCUUGAUAUUAGGUCUUCUAGAAUAAUUUGGGUGUGCAAGGAUUUUUAGAAAGAUUGAUCUAAGAAGAGCUUACAACCUCGUGCAAAUCAAAGAAGGAGACAAAUGGAAGAUAGCUUUUCGUACAAGGUAUGGCCAUUUUGAAUAUAAUGUUAUGCCUUUCGAUCUUAUCAAUGCUCCGGCGGUCUUUCUACACAUGAUGAAUGACAUCUUUCCAAAGCACCUUGACGAUUUUGUUGUCAUUUAUCUAGAUGAUAUUUUGAUAUUUUCCAAGAAUAUAGAAGAGCAUGAAAAACUCGUUCGUCUGGUUCUUGAAAAACUUUGCAAGCAAGGACUUUAUGCCAAAUUAGAAAAGUGCUUGUUUAAUCAAAUUGAGAUGGAAUUUUAAGGAUUCAUUGUAACUAAAAAAGGUUUGAAGAUGGAUCCUAAGAAGGUGGAAGCAAUUGAAUCAUGGAAAGUUCCAAAAACAAUUAAAGACGUACAAUGCUUUCUUAGCUUUGCUAACUUCUAUUAGAUCUUCAUUAAGAAUUACUCUCAAGUUGUUGCUCUGCUCACUUGGUUGAAAUGUAAAGACAAGCUCGAAUAGGGACCUCUAGUGGAAAAAGCAUUUCAAGAUCUUAAGACGACAUUUACUAUGGCUCCAAACUUAGUACAUCUGGACUUUGUAAAGGCCUUUUAUUUGGAGACAGAUGCUUCAAAUUUUGCUAUGGAAGUUUGUAAUUGCUUGUUUUACUUAUUCCGAAAGAAACCUCCAAGAAUAAACCCGUAUAGGGAAAUUCAAACACGGGAAAUGACUAGUUGCUUAAGCGUUUACGUUAGGGUCACAUAAUCAAUUACCUCCUAAAUAUAUCGUCUUUAUUUCUAAUAUCUGAACACACAUGGAAACUAUAAUCUCUUCCUUAACCUUAUCGGUCUCUUCCUUACAGUAAUUCAAUCAUACCAAUAACUGCUAUUUCCACCAAUAUAUUCACCCUCAUAAUCUCCAACUAUAAUAUUGCGCCCUCAUAGCUUUUAGCACACAAUUACCCUCAUUCCAGUCAUUGGAAUUCUUCACACAGAACUGCCAUUCACAUUAUAGUGUUUCACACAAACACAGACUCAUUCUCUCUGCUGAACUACAAUCAGAUUUCAACAUUCAAUCUUUCUUCUUCUCAAAUAGUACCAAUCACAUUUCCAUUCCAUAAUUCACUUCACAAUAUUCAGAAACUCUCAAUCCACUUAUUCAAAGAAAAUAACAAAGAAAAGAAAAGAGGUAGCACCAAGCUUAUCCCUGCUCACACUAUCAUAGCAAUAGCCUUUAGCUCACGACUCUCACAGUCUGGCCCUCAGCUUACGACUCUCGCAGUUUGACACCCUAAUUAACUUCUACAACUCCUAUAUACUUUUCCUUGAUUCUCCAGAUUCUAAUCGUAAUUUUGUAAUUAAUCGCUUUUAAUAACUAAAUCACUCAUCCAUCCUCUUGAAUUUCCUAUUAUAUGGACUAUUAAUAUAUUUUAUCAAUAUCUUUCAAAAACGAAUUAAUAUCUAUUCUACAUAGUCCUACUCCUAUCUGUGCAGCGUCCUCACAAACACUCAAUUGAUACCUAUCUACAAAUUAUCUAACAAAUCUCCACAAAAAUUGCAAUCCCUCUGGCCUAUCUAAUUAAUGAAUUGCCACAGUAUCUGUUAUUGGUUCCACUGAUUCCGGUUCCAACUGCAAAUCUUCGUCCUCAUCUAAUUCUUCCAUUGGCUCCUACCUCAACUGAGCUAAAAGGUCUUCAUUAUACUCACCCAAUUCAUCGACUUGAGCUUCCAAUUUCAGGAUUUGGGCAUCUCUCAAUUCCAACUGGCGCUGAAAGUGACUCCUCUCUUCUGGAACUUCAAGAACUAGCAACGUUGAUACUUGUGCUUGACCAAUAUUGACUAAAUCCUCUACCAAUCAUGUCACCUCAACGUUCAAGGCCUCAAUUUCAGCCCUUAACUACUCCAUUUCACAUCUGUAUUGGUCACUCAAUACCAAUUUCUCUUGCGCCAAUAACUCAGCCUUAUCUCAUUCCAUUAUCAACUGACCUUUUGCUUUUUUCAGUUGCAAAAUUGAAUUAUUGUGAGCCCAGAAUAGUUCUUGUUUAUGGGUCUCCACCAUGCGUUCUCUUUUUUGUGACUGGUUCCUCACUGUUAACUUUUAUUUGGAACUACUACUCUCGAAAACACAAGAAAUGCAAGAAAAUGGUACUCCAGCCAACCCAAAACAACACCACAGAAUGACUUUAACUGGUGCCCUACUCCUAUUCUUUUAUUACUUGGUGAUAAUGACAACAUGUUACCUAUACUGUCCAUGAAAGGUAAUGAGAAGUAAUCUUUCUUCGUGGUCACAUUUAACUUUUGAAAAUCUUGACAUAUCUUGAUUUUUCCAUUCUUCUUUUAUACCAUCACAAUUAGCGAUACCCAUGCACUAUGCGGAACAGGAUAAAUAAAACCCACGUCGAGAAGUUUAUUCAAUUUUUCUUUCACUAAAAGAAAAUAUUUUGGGUUAAGCCGAUAUUGUCUUUGACAAAUUGGCAUAACACCCUCCUCCAAAAUAAUCUGGUGCUCACAUACGUCAACUAGAAUCCCUUUCAAAUCCACAUACGAACACGCAAAGGUAGAUUUGUGAUGGACAAAAAACUGUUUCCAAGCAUCCAAUUCUGUACCUAUAAUACUGGCAUAUAUUUUAAUUAGCUGUAGCAUUUCAUUGGUGCCCAGGUUAAUAGAUUGACACACACGGUCUUCAACAACCUCUGAUUUAAUUGUCUUCUCUUGAUCUGAAUAUCUUAUAUUAUUCGACAUAUAGGAACCACCCAAAUUUGGUUCCAAUGUGCUGACUCUAUUGACUGCGGAAUUGUUCAUCUAUUCGACAAUAGCAUGAUCCGAGUUAGUCGUAUCCUCUUGAUGCAGUAAAUAUUCACCAGAACUUCCACAUUGGUAGAUUCUUGCCUUUGCUAUUGAAGUGUUUUGUCUUACCCCAAAUUGUGGUGAACCUAUAGCAUCGGCAUCUGACUCAAUCGAUUGACUCUCAUUGUUCGAUGUAAAUUCUGAUUUUGGCGAUUAAGAUUCUCCAUGAUAUUAUACCGGGUACAUCUGUAGAACAAUCUGGUCUCGGCCUUUUUCAAUUGUCAAUGUGCCUCGGCCCCAAUUGUUCUUAGCUUUGGUUUGAUAAAGCCAAGGUCUGCCUAAUAAAAUGGGAUACGAUAACGUAGAACUCUGUAAUCGAAAUACAAUAUAAUCGAUUUUGUAUGUCAAUCUUAUGAUUACAGUGACAAUAUUGUGUAAGAUUUCCAUUGGCUUUACCCGACUAUGAUCUGCCAUUUGUAAGAUCAAUGUCGUAGGUAGCAAUUGGUAUAGAUUCAAGUCCUCCAUUGUAUCCACGUUCAUUAAAUUCACAGUGGAGCCACCAUCAACUUGUACUCCUCGAAUUAAAAUGCCAUCGAUUGAUACAUUGAUUGUUGGUGCUCCCAGAUCUGGGUUUAAGCUAACUUCAUGAAUUUCUUUAGUAUGAGAUCUUCGUCGUAUUAGCGCUAAAUUCAAUGUAAAUCGACAUUCCGGUGCUAUAGCCAAAAGUUGCUUCAUUGUAAUUGAAGGCUGAAUAAUAUCCAAAUCCUUCAGAAUGUCGUAGGAUUCCAUAUUGAGAGUAAUUCCCAAUGCUCUUUUGCGUUUCAUUGGUUUGAGUUUAACUCCAUGAGGUAAGUUAUUCUUCCGCUUUAGAUUCGAAAUUGGAACAACAGCCGGGGCUUCCUUGAAAUUCUCGCCCUCGAGAGGAUCUUUCAACAGAUAGGACAUUUCUCAGGACUGUGUAGAGAUUGGAACUACUUAGAACGAAAUUGAAGCCUCUGUAAUUGGGACCUCAUUGGGUUCUACCACCGAUUGAGGUCUCAUACUGGAUACAGAGCCCGUAACAAGAUAUGGAUUGGAUGGUCCUGGCAAAUUGGUAAGUGGAACCAAAUUAGAUUCCUCAGUCUGUUGAGGUCUCAAUAUUGGGAUACGUCCCAAUACUAAUAUUGGUUUGUUUAGCCCCAUGAACGGCACUACUUCCUCUCUUGCGAUUGGUUCAUCCAGUUCCUGAAUUAGAUUCUUAUCUUUUUGUUGGCCUUUGGUAAGCACUACGUUCACCACCUUGACAUGAUGUAUUGGUGAGUCUCAUUAAACAGGGCCUUUGUCCUCCGCCGGUUGGCUUGUUUGCAUUUGCUAGUCCUGGUUAUUAUAAUUAAAGGGCGCAUUACAUUGCUGAUAAGUGUGACCAGACUGCUUAUAAUUUCCACAUAUUGGAGAAUAGUCAUCACUGGCCCUUGGAUUAAGACAUUCACUUGCAUAAUGUCUGAUUUUUUUGCAACGAUAGCAACGAAGUGGUCUCCUGCCAAGUCCUUCAAGGAUAUUGGGUGUCUCUACUGGUAUAUAACGGCUAGGUCUGUUCGAUGUCGGAUGAGUAAAGGAUCCUGGUUGAUCCAUAAUUACUGUAGAGUUUGGCAUUGGCUUUGUCAUGGGUGGAUAUUAAUGGUAUCCUGGUUGGUUCAUCGCCAAUCCGUGAGUAUUUGAUACACCUUCUUGGUGAAAUUCAGAGUUUAGGAAAUUGGAAUAAUUCCUGUUUUAUUUAUUCGCUCGAUUUCCAUUCCAGCCAAACCUAUUAUUUCUUUGUACUUGAUUGACAUCCCACUGGGUUGGUCAAAUCAUUAUCUGGUUACUGAGUUGUAAUUGCUUCCGUAAAUUCUAACAGUUGGUGGUAAUAUGCUUGCCUCCAUAAAAGGUACAUUGUACAGUCAUUUGGAGUGGUGAAGGACAUUCUAUUACUAAAUGAUCUCGCCCCUUACAAUUGCUGCACCAGACAUUGGGAUGCAUAUUGGUUGGUUUAUGCUUUUUUUCUUUAUCCUUGGCAAGAUUCACAGCCAAUUCAUCCAUUUUUUUUGUCAAUGUUAACAGUAAUGACUCAUUGAGAUCCCUUGAUAUCAAUGCAUUUGGCAAUUCUUUUGUAGGUAUUGAUUUUUCAUAUGCGGAAUAAGAUGCAUACGAGUGUCAUGAUGAUGGUGGUAUAGCUUGCAAUAGAACGGCAUCCACUAUUCCCUAUGAAAUUUUAUCAUAAUCAUUCUUUCCCAGAUAACUUUCCGAUGCGUCAUUCCAAUUUUUCAUUUGAUAACCUCCUUGAGAUGGAAUCAUCGUGGCUCCAACUAUUCAGUUCUGAUCAUAGUGACAUUCCUCUCAUACUUUUGCUUGCGCAGAGAUGAUGCAAUGGUAGCUGAUUGGACCUCCUUUACAAACAUCUUUAAUUCUAGUAGGUGUAAUCCAUUAACCAAUAUGGAUAAUACAAACAAUACCGGCAUUUGGUUAUUUACCCAUUUUCAAAGUAUAUCUGCUACACGACCAUAAUAUGACUGUACCGCUUCCCCUAGUACCAUUCUGCUAGUCAUUAAUUUUUUUCUAAGACAUCCUUCAAAACCAAUUGGUCGAAAAUGGGCUAAAAAUGCAUUUUUCAAUGCCUCCCAAUUGUUAAAUUGUCCCACAAGUUGGCGGUUAUACCAAUCAAAUACUGUGUCUUUCAAUGUCGCUGGCAGCCAUCUUAACCAAAUGUCUUUUGUUCUUCCAUUAUUGGCUACACAUGCCAUCAAGAAUUGAGACAAAUGUUGAUUUGGAUCCGCACUCAAAAAUCCCCGAAAAGUAGGUAGUGACACGACACUAGUCAUACGAUCACCUACUACACCCAUUUGUACUGUAAUCAGAAUGGUUGGUCUUCCUGACGCCAUUGAAUUUCUUGUUCCGCUAAACUCUAUUUUAAAAUAAUCUCUGCUUUUCCUUAUUCUAAUUUCUGAGCUCUCAGUACUCCUCGAUUUACUGUUAUUUUCCACAAUUAGUUUUAUUGAUUGAAUUGAAGGUGAAAAUAUUGGAUUUUGAAAUACAACAUAGUUAUCUUUAUUGGCGAUCAAUUUGUGCCAAUCUGAAGAGCCACUAUUGCUCAUUUCAACAGUACCCUUUAUUGAAAAAAUACCCAAUGGAGUGCCAAUUUCUUCUACGCCUCCUUCUCUUUCAAUUAACGGCCUCAUGAUUUCCACUGGAAUGUUAACAAAAUUUCUUGUGAGUGUUCUUGGCAGUUUUUCUAAUGGUACAUACGACUGCAGAAUUAAUAGUCUGUCUGAUUCUUGAUAUGUUCGGAUGCACCGACAAGCUUGUAACCAUGGUUUAAUCCAAUUUUGUCAAUGCUUCCUUUUAAGAUUACGUUCUUGCUCCUCUCUAAGUAAGUCCCUUCCUUGCAUUCUUCCUUGUCUUUCUCUCAACUGAUUUAUUUUCUUUGAUGCAAUGCUCUCGUUCUUAUUAACCAUAAUCUUGCUUCAAACACUACUGAAAUCGUCUUCCAUUGUCAAUUUUCUCACACAUUUGGUAAUUAAUUCCUAACACUCAAAGCUAUUAUUACUCUCCGGUAGUGGCACCAAAAUGUGAUUGCUCAUUUUACUUAUUUUGGAAGAUACCUCCUAGCAUAAAUCCGUAUAGAGAAAUUCAAAUACGAGAAAUGACUAGUUGCUUAAGCGUUUACGUUAGGGUCACAUAAUCAAUUACCUCCUGAAUGUAUCAUCUCUAUUUCUAAUAUCUGAACACACAAGUAAACUAUAAUCUCCUCCUUCACCUUAUCGGUCUCUUCCUUACAGUAAUUCAGUCAUACCAAUAAUUGCUAUUUCCACCAAUAUAUUCACCCUCAUAAUCUCCAACUGUAUUACUGUGCCCUCACAGCUUUCAGGACACAAUUACCCUCAUUCCAAUCACUAGAAUUCUUCAUACAGAAUUGCCAUUCACAUUACAAUGUUUCACACAAAUACAAACUCAUUCUCUCUGUUGAACUACAAUCAGAUUUCAGCAUUCAAUCUUUCUUCUUUUCAAAUAGUAUCAAUCACAUUUUCAUUCCAUAAUUCACUUCAUAAUAUUCAGAAACUCUCAAUCCUUUUAUUCAAAGAAAAUAACAAACAAAAGAAAAGAGGUAGCACCAAGCUUAUUCCGGCUCACACUAUGACAGCGAUGGCCUUCGGCUCACAACUCUCACAGUCUGGCAUCCUAAUUAACUUCUAUAACUCCUAUAUACUUUCCCCUGAUUCUCCAGAUUCUAACCAUAAUUCUAUAAUUAACUGCUUUUAAUAACUAAAUCACUCAUCCGUCUUCUUGAAUUUCUUAUUAUAUGGACUAUUAAUAUAUUUUACCAAUAUCUUUCAAAAAUGAAGUAAUAUCUAUUCUAUAGAGUCAUACUUUUGGAGAUAAGCACAAACAAGAAGCUUCAUCGAGUUGCGUUCUAUUCUCAAAAGUUUUUUGCUGCUGAGAUCAAUUAUGAGAUCUACGAUAAAGAACUUCUUGUGAUAGUCGAUUCUUUCUAAGAGUGGCGUCACUUUCUAAAAAGAGCUAUGCAUCUGGUGACCAUAUACACGAAUCAUAAGAAUUUGUAGUACUUCAUGUCGGCUUGAGUUUUGAAUCAUCGUCAAGCUCGACGAAAUUUGUUGCUAUCUAGGUUUGACUUUAUUAUUACUUAUCAGCCUGGGAAGCAACAACGACUAUCUGAUGCAUUAUCAAGGAGAUCAUAUCUAGUACCAAAGGCUGAAGAAGCAGCAUUUAAUCAACAGUGUAUAAUAUUGUUGAAGUCAGAAUAAUUUAGGCUUUGCUCUGCUAUAGUACCAAUUAAUGCUGAUUUCUUCAACCAGGUACGUAUUAUAACUAUUGGAGAUUCUGUAGCCCUCGAUAUUAUGUAACAUUUCAAUAUUGACAAGUUCAAGGUAGAAGGAGAUCUUUUAUACUUUGAAGAGCAGUUGUAUAUUCCAAAGGGACCAGCACGAUUCUGAGUUCUCUAAUCUCGACAUGACUUUCUAGCUGUAGUACAUUUUGGAUUCAAUAAGACCUUGGAACUUAUUUCUCAAGAUUUUUGGUGGUCCCAAAUGUGGAAGGAUAUCAAGGAUUUUGUCCUCUCCUGAGACAUUUGUUGAAGAUCCAAGAAUCCUCAGCAUUGUUCCUAUGGUCUUCUUCAACCAUUGCCUAUUCUAUGUCUGCCAUGAUCUUCAGUUUUCAUGAACUUCAUUAUGGACUUGCAGCCAUCAAAUUCAUUUGACAACAUAUUUUUAGUGAUAGAUCGGCUUACAAAGAUGGCACACUUUGUCCCUUGCAAGAAAACAUCAUCAAGCAAAGACACAGCAAGACUCUUCUUUGAUAGUAUGUAUUCAUAUCUGAUUUACCAGAUGAUAUCAUGUCGAAUCAGGGAAUCCAAUUCAUAUCAAAGUUUUGGAGAUCUCUCUUUGAGAUAUUGAAGGUGGAUAUCAAGCUUUCUUUGGCUUUUCAUUCUCAAAUUGAUGGCCAAACAAAACGGGUGAAUCAAACUUUAGAGCAGUAUUUACGAUGCAGCAUCAACUAUCAACAAGAUGAUUGGACUGCAUAUCUAUCGUUAGCCAAGUUUGCAUAUAACAACACCCUUCAUGCAUCGACUCAACAAAUACCAUUCUUUUCCAACUAUGAGUAUUAUGCGAAGCUUGAUUUGUUGAGUCCAUCAAUUAAUAAUAACCUGGCUGCUUAAGGAUUUGUAAAAUAACUAUCGGAGCUUUAAACAAUGUUGAAGCUUAAAUUACAAAGUACCCAAGAAGCUUACAAGUCGUCCGUAAAUAAAUUUCAAAAUCAGGCAUCCACUUUCAUAAUUAGAGAUAAAAUAUAGUUGGUUUGACGAUAUAUCAAAACCAAGUGGCCAUGUCAUAAGUUGGACUACCGAAGAUUGAAACCAUUUGUCAUCCAGAAGCAAAUCAAUCUAAUGGCAUACCGUCUGGGGUUACCAGCUGCUAUGAAGGUACACCCAGUCUUUCAUGUUUGUUUGUUGGAGCCUUAUUGAGAGUCGUCUUUUCUUGAAAGAAUACAAUGUCCACCACCUAGUAUUGAAAUCAAGAACCAAGAGGAAUACGAGGUCAAAAAGGUACUAGAUUUGUAGCGUAAGUAGGAGAAAUUGGAAUACCUAGUGCAUUAAAGCGGGUAUGAUAUCAAUGAGCGCAUAUGGGAACCAACGAAAAUUCUUAUCAAUGCGUCACAAAAGGUACAGGAGUUUCAUCGACGCUAUCCUCAGAAAUCCAAGUCCUUUCAAUCAAAGUUUUUCAGUGAAGUUCCUUCUCCUUGAAGUCUCUUAAUCCUCAACCUUACAAAGAAGGGAGAUAAGGAACUUCUAAAAGACAUAGUUAGAGAUUAUAAAUUUGUAAGCAGAGCCCAUUCUUCCAUGUUUAGUCCUUAUAUUUUUUGAUCUGAUAUGGAUAGCUAAGAAAUAGAUACCAUAACAAUUAUGUCUUCUCAAUCGAAUAUCUCACAAAGACGACCCUACAAUCGAGUAUCUCACAAAGACGACCCUAAGAUGAAGAACUAUCUAUACCACGAAGACGACGGAUGAUACCUAGUAGCAGGUUGCUAGUGAUUGUGUUUGAAGUAGAACCUACCUACGGUGAUCUUCUCGAAAGAGUAUUUGUAGGAUAUUUUUAUAAUAAAGACAUGCUUGGUCAGAAAUCAAAGGCGUAGGAUACUAUCAUUAGUUACAACGACCGAUGAACUACUUGCCACACAAACAACAAUUGGAGUAUAUUACAUACACUAUGCGACAAAUUUUUAACUUCUUACGUUGGUACUGACUCGCAAUAGGAGUGUUUCUCAGAGAUCUCAAAGCUAAAAGGGGGAAGUGAUGUCAAGGACAUACAUUAGAAAGUUGUAGAAGAUUCUAGAAGGUUCUAAAGAUGCUUUAUAGUUUGUAGAAGCUACUUGAGAAGUUUUUAAGCUCGUGGAAGCUACUUGAGAAGCUUCUUAACUUAUAAAAGCUGCUUGAGAAGCUUCCUAAUUCGUGGAAGCUACUUGAGAAGCUUCCUAAUUUGUGGAAGCUACUUGAGGAGCUUCCUAGCUUGUAGUAUAUAUACGAGCCGAGACUGAGGGGAUCUUUAGUCUUGACAAUACAUCUCUUGGAGCUCUAGCUCACUUUUCUAGUAUUGUGCUUGUACUCAUCUGAUUAAUCUAAUUCUUACCGAUUCUUCUUGAAUUUCUUCUUUAGAUUUCCAGUUAGUAUUCAAAAUUUGUGACAAGUAGCCCUUGUCCAAUGACUUCUAGAAUAAUGACUAGAAGCUUGAAUGACAUCAUUUCUUUCUAUAAAUCUUACUUGUGAGACAUCUCCAAAAAUUUUCAUUUCAUCUUUUUUAUCUUCAUUGCUUUCUAUUGCUCUUAUUCCUUAUGCAUUUGAUAUCAUAGUGCCCCUUGUAGAUUCUCAUUUUUUCUUUAUUGUAUCAAUAAUAAUUUUAUGAAACUCACGCUUUGUAAUUCUUAGAAUUUUACUAAUUAUGAAUUCAACCUUUCCACUUAAAAUCCGCUCCUCCAAUACUUUCUUCAAAUCUGUAGCAGCUUAAAUAUCUGAUUAUAAUUUAUAAGUAGGAGCCUUUGCUUUUUCUUUUCUAAUUUUCUUUUCUUUUAUAGAAAUAUUUCCUAUUAUCUCUUCAUGUAUAGGAUUCUUUUGUUGUCAUGUUUUUUAUCUCCUUGUAGUUCUUUUUGAAGGUUCUUUAUUAUUUUUAUCUCUCCUUCAUUUUUCUUCUAUUAAUACUUUAUAUUGACUCUUAGUAAUAAGAGCAUGUAUAAAUAAUCUAUCUAUUGGAUCAUCCCAUCUAAUAAUUUUUUGAAUGUUAUUACCAAUAUAUUAUAAAUCAUCUCUAGUAAAUUUUCUCCUUUCAAUAUAAUUCAUUGCACUUGUCUACAAAGAACUAGAUUCUUCUAAAAACUCAAGAUUUAUACUUAAAUAUUUACUAGGAUUUUCUUCUAUCAAUAUUUUGAUGUUUCAUUGCUUGAGAUGAUUUGCACUUUAAAAGCAUCUUCCACAAAUACCUUUAUUCUUUCUUUACCAAAAUUUGUCUUCAAUUUUUCUCCACUUUCUUUUAAGUGUAUCAUACCAUCUUUAAAAAAAAUAAUUCUUUUUUGUAGCACCUCUGUAAAAUCUUCACAUUUCUUUCUUGAAUGAUUUGUGCUAUUACACCACAUGAACCUAUGCACUACACCUUUCAUUGGUCCUAAUCUUUGUCUUGUUUAUAUUUUUGAUAAUUGGCACUUCUCUAUAAGUUUUGUAUAUUUUAUUUGCAAAUCUCUCAUUCCACCUUUGAUUUCAUCAAUGUCCAUUUCUUCUUUCUUUAAUAUAGCUAUUGAAGGUUGAAUCAAAGAUGUUAGAUGGAUAGUAGACAUUUUUAUCUUAGAUGCUUCUAACGAUCUUUGAAUACCUAUCCUAUCUUUUCUUUUUUUCUUUUUUAUCAAGAAUCCUAUUGUUUCUUCCACUUUCUUUCAAUUUGUUGUCAAUUCUUCAUCUUCUUCUUUAUCUUCAAGCUAUAUUUCCAACUUCUCUCAUAACUUUCCAUCACCCUCUUGAAAAAAGAGCUCUAUUUUACUUAAAUCCAAUAAUUACCUUUUUUUUAUUUCAUAAAGAAGAAUAUUUCUUUUCAAACUCUCUUAAUAAUUCUAUUACUAAAAGAUUCUUUUCUAGCCUUUCAACUCAUUUAAAAAAUGAUUUCUUUAUAACUUGAUUGCUAUCUUUCAAGAAAAACUCAUCCUUCAAUGUUUGAAAUAUUUUUUUUCUAUAAAUCUCCAAAAUGUCCUAUAAUAGAUACUACAUGAUUUCUUAUCUUUGGUGCAAUAGUCAAUUCAAAUAAUUGAAACAUCUCCCUUUCUGGAACACGCUUCAAUUCUAUUUCUUUUACAUGGCACCUUAAAUAUUUUAUAAUAUCUUUUCCUUCAAAUUGAUGAAACUUAUCCACAACCGCAUAUAAUGCUUUGUUUGUCAUAUCCUCUUUGUAUUCUUUAACAUAUUGUUGUUGAAUGAAUAAGGCAAAAGCUUCAAAUAUGCUUUCAAAAUUAGGAUCAAAAUACAUACCUUAUCCUCUACUAGUACCUCGACUUAUAGUUCCAGUCAAAGCACCACCUAUAGCCCCUCUUUCAACUCUCUUGCCUUCUUUCUCUAUAAUUCAAAUAAUUCAAGAAAAAUUUCCAAAUACCUUUGAUUUCAAGCUUUUUACAUUAGAUUCACCAAAUAUGUCGUAUUAUGUGAAGUAUUGCUUGAAAGUGUACUUGGCACUUGGCUGUAAAAGAUAGAAUAGAAAUUGCAAUAACAAAAUUUUAAUUCUCAUAUAAUACUAUAUAAAUUCUAAUUAAACCUUAAUAAUAUUAAAAAAUCUUUAAUAAAAUUCAAAAAAAAUCUUAAAAAAAUUACAAAAGAAAUAAUAAAAAAUCUUAAAAGAAUUGAAACAUAAUCCACAAUAAACCUUAAAAGAAUCCUUAAGAAGCCAAAAAAAAUUAAAAUAAUCACAAAAUAUCUUAAAUAAAUCUUAAUUAAGUUUUAAUUUAAUCCUAGUUGAAAUGCUAAUGGACUUCAAUCAAGUUUUAGAUAAAUUCUAAAUCUUAAAUCAAAUCCUGAAUAAAUCUUAAAUUCUAAAUAAAAUUCUAAAAAAAUUCAACCUUAAUCAAAUCUUAGCCAAAUCUUUAAUCCUAAAUCAAAUCCUAGACAAAUCUUAAUUCCUAAAUCAAACCCUAAUCAAACCCUAGACAAAUCCUAAAUCCUAAACUAAACAUUAAACUAAAUCCUAAAAUAGUUUAGAACCUUGAUAUCUUUUGAUUAAAUUAUUGAUCUUAUUUAAAAUUUUACACACCUCUUAAUCUCUUAAUUAAAAAAUAGUACAAUAAAUUUGAAGACAAUUGCAUUUACUAAAUAGAAGAAAAAUCCUAAAAUUUGCUUGGAUGUUG
rnacentral:lncRNA from 1 species